CAGCCGCCGCGGUAAUACGGAGGGGGCUAGCGUUGUUCGGAAUUACUGGGCGUAAAGCGCACGUAGGCGGCUUUGUAAGUUAGAGGUGAAAGCCCGGAGCUCAACUCCGGAAUUGCCUUUAAGACUGCAGAGCUAGCAGGUGAGAGAGGUGAGUGGAAUUCCGAGUGUAGAGGUGAAAUUCGUAGAUAUUCGGAAGAACACCAGUGGCGAAGGCGGCUUACUGGCUCAUUCUAGACGCUGAGGUGCGAAAGCGUGGGGAGCAAACAGGAUUAGAUACCCGGGUAGUCCCUGUCUCUUAUAC
rnacentral:rRNA from 1 species